GAUGAGCAGCUGGUCGCAGCGCAGCAGGCGCACAGCGGCAAGACGCUUAGCGUGGAGGACGAGGCUGCGCGUGUGCUUGGACAAUCAAGCCAAGCGGAGGCCAUUGGUGCGUGACACAUUUCUGUGUGCUCUGCUGCAGCUUUGAGGAAGAGGACGUGCGCAUGUAUUUGGGUUAUUGUGCCAGGGUUAGGCCAUCGGUGCAUGACGACAUUCAUCACUUGCAUUUGUGUUCCUUCUGAAGAUGCUGUGUAGGGUUGGGUAGAAUGGGUCGAGCAUGUGGCAAAAGGGGGUCAAAUAGCCUCUUGAGGGCCUUUUUAGCCCUCUUUGAAGCCAGCUUCUCAACUCCCUUAAUGCAAUCCUAUACAUGUGCCAAACCCUGGCACACCUAUGCUUCACUUAUGUGCACCUGCUGAGGCAGUAUAAGUGUGUGUGUGUGUGUGUGUGUGUGUGUGUGUGUGUGUGUGUGUGUGUGUGUGUGUGUGUGUGUGUGUGUUGAUGGUUUGUGUGGCAAAUUCUGGCACACCCAUGCUCCAGUUGUUUGUGCCUUCAGAGGCAACGUGCGCUCAGCAACAUCAGCCAUCACCAUGCAGGCUGCCGUGGAGGUUUGUGACCAGGGAGGGGGUUGGUCACAAGGCUGGAAGGUGCCUUCAUUGUAAUGAGGCAUGCUAAGGAUGUUUGAAGGGAGAUGGUGAAGGGUGCUUUUAUACUGAGGACCUUGGACUUCCCCACUCGUCGAUCCAUGUCAGAUUGCCAGGAGCCAUGGUUUUGUGUCAAACAACAUGAGCAAGUCAAGGAGUAAAGACACCAGUCAUCUGCCCAGCAUGCUUUCCCAUGAUCGCAUACGUACUCAAUGCUCUCAUACUCGAUGUUGUGCAUGCUUCACACAAAAUGCAGGCUCGUGGGGAAUCGCGGGUGCAUGCGUGCUGUACAUCUUCCCGCUUGCUUUGAAUGCUGGUUGGAUGGGCCUCGCCACUUGCUUGGGUAUCAUGCAGGUG
rnacentral:lncRNA from 1 species